GGGAGAGUACGGAUCUGGUGGUCCGCACGGUCUUCAAAACCGCUGAGGCCGUCGCAAGGCGGCUGGUAGGUUCGAUUCCUACACUUUCCCGCCA
rnacentral:tRNA from 1 species